CACAAGCUUUCCGUAGGUGAACCUGCGGAAGGAUCAUUGUCGUGACCCUGACCAAAACAGACUGCGCACGCGUCAUCCAAUCCGUCGGCGACGGCACCGUCCGUCGCUCGGCCAAUGCCUCGACCACCUCCCCCUCCUCGGAGCGGGUGGGGGCUCGGGGUAAAACAACCCACGGCGCCGAAGGCGUCAAGGAACACUGUGCCUAACCCGGGGGCAUGUCUAGCUUGCUAGCCGUCCCUCGUGUUGCAAAUCUAUUUAAUCCACACGACUCUCGGCAACGGAUAUCUCGGCUCUCGCAUCGAUGAAGAACGUAGCGAAAUGCGAUACCUGGUGUGAAUUGCAGAAUCCCGCGAACCAUCGAGUCUUUGAACGCAAGUUGCGCCCGAGGCCACUCGGCCGAGGGCACGCCUGCCUGGGCGUCACGCCAAAACACGCUCCCAACCACUCUCAACGGGAAUCGGGAUGCGGCAUCUGGUCCCUCGUCUCUCAAGGGACGGUGGACCGAAGAUUGGGCUGCCGGCGUACCGCGCCGGACACAGCGCAUGGUGGGCGUCCUCGCUUUAUCAAUGCAGUGCAUCCGGCGCGCAGCUGGCAUUAUGGCCUUUGAACGACCCAACAAACGAAGCGCACGUCGCUUCGACCGCGACCCCAGGUCAGGCGGGACUACCCGCUGAGUUUAAGCAUAUCAAUAAGCGGAGGAGGAUCCGUG
rnacentral:rRNA from 1 species